rnacentral:rRNA from 1 species
GGAACGAACGCUGGCGGCAUGCCUAGUACAUGCAAGUCGAACGAACACUUCGGUGUUAGUGGCGCACGGGUGCGUAACGCGUGGGAAUCUGCCCUUGGGUUCGGAAUAACAGUUGGAAACGACUGCUAAUACCGGAUGAUGACGAAAGUCCAAAGAUUUAUCGCCCAGGGAUGAGCCCGCGUAGGAUUAGCUAGUUGGUGAGGUAAAGGCUCACCAAGGCGACGAUCCUUAGCUGGUCUGAGAGGAUGAUCAGCCACACUGGGACUGAGACACGGCCCAGACUCCGUAGGGAGGCAGCAGGUAGGAAUAGUGGACAAGUGGGCGACAAGGCCUGACUCCAGCAAUCGCCGCGUGAGUGAGUAGGAAGGUCCGUUAAGGGUUAGUAAACGCUUACUUUAACCCGAGUAUAGAAUAA